AACUUGUUUCACAGAUUUAUUAGAUUGGAUAUUUUUUGUUUUGCCAAACUGUACACCAACACGAACAGAUCAGGGGGAAAUAAAAUGUUGAGGUCAUGGAAGAGCUCUGACAUAGUAGUGGAAAGUCAUGGAUCAGUCCUUGAAUUUCACAACACAUACAGUUGUUUUUUAUGCUGGUGCCCAGUCUUUUGUGUCCGGGGGGAUUAAGACCAACAGUCACAGAGAAGGACGCAACUCGAGAGUUUGACGUUAAAUAUUUAUUGCAGAUGAAACACACUUUUCACUCACAGCGUCAGCUCAGGCAGGUUCAGAGCUGAAGGUUUUUACAGUUUCAUGUCAGGACAUGUCUGUCCUGUCAGUCUUGAUUUCACUCUCACUCUCUCUUUCUCAAACACAGACACACACUGAAACAAGAGCUCAUUCAUUUAUUUAAUCAUUCAUACAGUCAGUCAAUCGUUCGGUGGACUGAAAAUGUGAUCAUCCCAGACGCUAGCUGUCAGUCAAACUAUGUGAAGGGCUGGGGACGUCUGAAACAUUUUUCUUACAGAACUGAAAACCAAUCCAAAAAUGUACAAUACAAUUAAGUAUAGCUUCAUAUGAGCAGGAAACAAAACCCUGAAAUGCCUGAAAUUUGAUAACAUUAUUUCACAUCUGCUACUUUCAAAUAAACCAACCUGAACUGAUUCAAGCUCAGAAAGUCACUUUGGGUCACAUUUGAUUUGCAUACAGAUAUCGGACUGAAGAUUUUUGGGGGCUGGCUGUAGUUCGACAUUCACAGGGAACCUCAACUCCCACAAUCCCCUGCAUUUUACAGAGAGCUUCAUCAAAGAGUAGCAAAGUGUGAGAAGUUGGGGCAGGCAGUGUUAAGAAAGCAAAAGUCCCAUUUAAUUUUUAUGGAUAAUGUUCGGUAACUGACAUGUUCAAGGUGAAGGUGAACAUGAAACCCUGCUGGUAGAAAAAGUCAAGACAAGGUAUGUACAAACUUAAAACUGCAACUCCCAGGGAGCACUGCAGUGAGACACAUCCAAUCAGAGUUUAAAAUUGUGUUUAACAAGUCAUUUUUGGAUGAAUGAUGUGCUGUUUUGUUCCCAAUGACAGUAAAGUGUUUUAUAUUUUCUACAGCAGGCUGGCCUUUUCCCUAUAGCAAUAGCCACAGAGGCUCAUGGGUAUUGUAGUAUUCAGAGACAUUCUGCAUGAAAGACUGGCAGAGUAGAGUGCUGCACGGAUGAAAGUUAACAUCGCCCUGGUUCCCUCAUCAAAACUCCAGAUCGGAUGUUUCCAUUGGAUUUUGGAAUAUGGCAGAAAAUAAGCUGUGGCAAACAAACCUUUAUGAUACUUGCACGUUUUGUUUAGCGAGAUAAUCUUCACAAAUUAACACAACUUUAGUGACUUUUGGAGCUUAAAUGCAAUCGUCCAAAAUAAAAUGCUAAUAUAAGGCUAUGAACAAACUGAACCACGGUCACAUGACUGCCAACGUUACAACCACAACGAGGCUGUGAAGCUGUGUCCGGCGUUCUGUAGUCUCAUUUAGCCACUUGUUAAAAACUGCCUUUUUUAAGACACAAAAAAGCUUAAACAUUUGGGAAUUUACUGACAUUUUUUAUGUCGUAGAACAAAAUGUUAAAGUAUCUUUAGCUUGUGUAAAUCACAGACCUUGUUACAGGCAUCUAACAAAAAAAAAAACCUGACUUUGGGAUGAUUUUUCCCAAGUAAGGAUUAAGAUUGCUAACUUUUUUCUUUUUUCUCUUGUUGAAAAAUAAUGUUGUCUUUGAUCUAAUGACUUCUUGAAACACAUUUUCCUCUAUCAAUGCAUUAAAAAAGUGCAACUGCUCAAGAGUUGCGAGCAAUUCAAGCACUUCAAGGAUGAUUUUUUUGAGUGCUGAAGAGGUACUUUCACAAGUAAAAAUAAAAAAAAAAAAUAAAUAAAUAAACAGUCAAUCACAUGUGACGCCUCACACUCAGGUUGGGAAACACUGAGUGUCUUUAAAAAGAACAUUUGUUACGGGGUUAAACACUUCCAGAGCCCAUUUCUCCACCCACUUUGCUACUCUGUUGCUACACUGAAGCAACUGGUUUUAUAUUCUCUCUCUCACUCACACACUUACACACACACACACGCACACACACACAGUAAUCAGAUAUCUCCUCUUUGACUGUAGUCCCACUGCAGUACCGAGACACACAGAGAGGCCUGGACAACCUGAGCUGCGCGAUCAUACCAGCACCCCUGGCACUAAUCUGUUCCAGGUCUCAGACACCUGGACCAGGACUGGGACUUCAGCUUCCCACCCUGCACUGGGCUGGGCUUGAUACAGCAGGAAAAGUCCCAUUAAAGCUUAUCGUCUCAGCAGGGCCGGACCACACUCACAUACACAUAAACACUUAAACCGAAUGAGUAAAUGUCAAAACUCAAAUCAAAGCAAUAAA